AGAGUUUGAUCCUGGCUCAGGAUGAACGCUGGCGGCGUGCUUAACACAUGCAAGUCGAACGGAGCGGCCAUGACGGAGUUUUCGGACAACUGAUUGGUUUGCUUAGUGGCGGACGGGUGAGUAACGCGUGAGGAACCUGCCUUGGAGUGGGGAAUAACACAGAGAAAUUUGUGCUAAUACCGCAUAAUGCAGUUGGGUCGCAUGGCCCUGACUGCCAAAGAUUUUAUCGCUCUAAGAUGGCCUCGCGUCUGAUUAGCUAGUUGGUAGGGUAACGGCCUACCAAGGCGACGAUCAGUAGCCGGACUGAGAGGUUGACCGGCCACAUUGGGACUGAGACACGGCCCAGACUCCUACGGGAGGCAGCAGUGGGGAAUAUUGGGCAAUGGGCGCAAGCCUGACCCAGCAACGCCGCGUGAAGGAAGAAGGCUUUCGGGUUGUAAACUUCUUUUAUAAGGGACGAACACAAUGACGGUACCUUAUGAAUAAGCCACGGGCUAACUACGUGCCAGCAGCCGCGGU
rnacentral:rRNA from 1 species